UACGUAGGGGGCUAGCGUUGUUCGGAAUCACUGGGCGUAAAGGGUGCGUAGGCGGGUCUUUAAGUCAGGGGUGAAAUCCUGGAGCUCAACUCCAGAACUGCCUUUGAUACUGAAGAUCUUGAGUUCGGGAGAGGUGAGUGGAACUGCGAGUGUAGAGGUGAAAUUCGUAGAUAUUCGCAAGAACACCAGUGGCGAAGGCGGCUCACUGGCCCGAUACUGACGCUGAGGCACGAAAGCGUGGGGAGCAAACAGG
rnacentral:rRNA from 1 species